UAUUGUUUGAAACAGAUAUCUGCAUGUGUAGGUUCAGUAAAAUCAAAUGUUGCAUGUUAGGAACAUUGAAUGCUCCGUGAAAUCCUCAUAAACACGGGGGGCUCGUAUUUCGUAGAUUUCGGCAGGAUGUACUCCUCCAGUGUGAUGUCUUAUGUAACUGGGGUCCUGUGACAUUUGAUUCUUUACAAAGAUAACCUGGAUUUACACAUCCCCUUUCUGUGCCUCUGUGGACAAUCUCCUGGAUUUACACUCUCCUUUCUGUGCCUCUGUGGACAAUCUCCUGGAUUUACACUCUCCUUUCUGUGCCUCUGUGGACUAUCUCCAACAUGAGCUGGCCUUGCCAUUUUCAUCAGACAUAAUGAUGUAUGUCAGUAAAUUAGUGCAGCGUCUCCGAACAGCUGACCGAAUAUGCCACCAACAAAAAUUAAUAUUACAGCGUUUCUGUGUUAUGCAUAAGAAAUGAAUCUAUUCUAUUCUAUACACAUACAGUGUAUUUCAUAGUGCCUUUUUCAAGCAUGUCUUAAUCACUCUAUAUAUAUAAAUUUAAUCUGUGCUUGUAGCUGUCAAGGUUUUCCCACUACAAGAUUCUUAUAAGGUCUUUGAUCCACUCCUUGAAAGAACAAUCUGAUUCAAAUAAGAUCUUUGAUCCACUCCUUGUAACAACGAUUUUAUAUUAUCUUUUCUUUCACAUUUGUAAAGCGCUUUAGAGAACUAAUGUUGAUAGGGCGCUAUAUAAAUCUUUUAAUUACAAUUACAACAAUCUGAUUCAAAUAAGAUCUUUGAUCCACUCCUUGUAACAACAUAACAAAUGGAGGGUGGAUCAAAGAUUUAUUCUGAUCAUAUUGAGUUUUUUUUAAUUUUUUAUGUACACUCCUUUAUUAAUUCAUGAUUUUAGAAAUGAAAAUAAUGUUCCUUCAGUAUAUCUGUGUGAAAUCUAAAGGACCUCCAGUCAUCCCUGAUGGGGUGACAGAUAUGAAACCAGUUUCAGCUGAUAUGAAAUGUUGCAUGACCUCCAUUAUAAUGCUUAUUUCAAACAGUGAAAGGUUUAAACCCCCAGCAUGGUAAUAUAGCACAGUGUGCUAUUGAAAGCAGGACGAUAUUCUAUAUAUGUAUGCAAAAUUAGCAAAUUAAAGAUUUACAGUAUAAAAAUUAUGAAUAAAGCUUAUUGCAUAAUCAUUUGUUCUUCAUUCACCCUAUGAUAAACAUAAGAAUAUUUUAAAACAUCAUCUCAUUAGGUCUAAGAAAAUUAAUCAAGUUUCCUGCAGUGUUUGUUCUCAACAGUGCUCAAUCAGUCAAUAGCCCCUACUUGUUUCGUGUUGUUCUCAACUGGCCCUAGUGACCACUGACCACAUUUAAAAAAAAAAAAAAAAAAAAGCAGGUGCGCGGUUUGCGACAAAACGCAUGCAUGGUGCCCAGGACGUUACACGGUCUAAUAUUCAACCGUGAAAUACGCAAAAUUUGUUUGUUGAGAGUCACUGUUAAAAUAUCUCUAUAUAUUGGUCAGUAUUCCUUACCAGUUCCCAUCAUCUGAAUAAUCCUCCCUCACCGUCCCCCACUGUCGCUCCGAGAGAUAGGGCCCCCAUCGCUUCCAGUUCCGUGCCCUGGUCCUGUCUUCCUUCAAUCUCCGACUCUCCGGGGAUGCCAUGCGUCCGUUCCUGCAGUCUCACGCCACAC